AAACGUGGCCCCAUUCUACUACAAUCAAUCUGGUCCGCCUGUCCCAAACCUAUGCAAUCCGUUCAAUCCUGACCUGACCGAUCGAGCUUGUACACCUGGCGAAGUGGAUCUCAGCAACGUUACACAGGUAUCUAUCUAAUAAUAAAAUGGGUAUUUUAUAUUGAUUGAAGAAGAAUAUUAUUAUAUAUGGUUUCAAAUAUAAUAGAUGCUUAUGUGUUAAUUUGUUUGGAGGUUUGGAGCGGGUAUGUGUGUGAAACGUCAGGAAAUGGGGUAUGCGUGACAAAGGGUCGUUUGACAAGGGAUAUGUAUAGUCAGAUGAGUGCAGGUGUGAAUGUGAGCUAUGGAUUGUACAAGUACGGACCGUUUUUGGUGAAUCUUGAGGAUUGUACAUUUGUGAGAGAAACGUUCACGGAUAUAAACGGGAGGUAUUGUCCUGGGCUGAGAAAGUACAGCCAGUGGAUAUACAUUGGGCUUGUGAUGGUUGCUACGGCCGUCAUGCUGUCUCUCUUGUUCUGGGUCAUUUACGGCAGAGAGAGGCGCCACCGAGUCUAUACCAAAGAGCACAUGCCACACCACCCUGCAGGUUUUCAAGCAGACAAAUAAUAUUCUAUAUAUAUAUACAUAAUCCUAGUUAUAUACAUAUGCGUAGCAGCUGAUGAGCUGCUGCUGUAAAUACUUACUGGCCGGCUGCUGCAGUUUGUAAAUGAAACAAAG
rnacentral:lncRNA from 1 species